UUAACACCUUAAAUUGUAAUUUACGUCUUACAUUUCGUCCUCAAAUUCCUAAUUUGAUUCCUAUGUCUCUCCAUUCUCUCUUUUCUCCGACAGCCGUUUGUUAACACCAUCCUCAGUAUGCUCGGACGAUACAACCUACAAGAAGUCGAACAGACAGAUGCCAAGAGCAUAUAUCGACAUGAUCUUCUUAGUUUUCUCCCUCUCUUUUGCUCUAAACCCUAAUCGCUUCCUUCAAUCGAUACCAGAAAGGGUCGCCCCAUCGAUUUCAUACAUCAAAUCGAUCAUAUGUGUUCUUCCCCCGCUGCUAUGUGUUCUUCCUCCGCUGCUCUGCCUUCACUAUCUUCCUUUCGAUCUCUCUUUUUAGUUUUUGAUCAUAAAUACAUACCCAGGUGACUAUGUUUUGGAUUACAUUAUCAUAUGGAUUUUUAUCGAUGUCACCUUACAGAAUUCAACUGGAGAAUCAGAUGAAGGUGUGAAUUUUACUAGCAUUUCUGCUGCCACUGGGGUAUCAGAGCUUCAACAAAUGUGGAAACAGAGAACCAUUAGUCCUACACUGUUAUUAUUAAUGCUCAUGGGGGUGAUUUUACUGCUGCUGCUGUACAGAUCUGAAAUCCAAUACCAAAUGACCAUGGAGAACCUCCUGGCUGAUCGUUUCCAAUGUUCUCCUUGAUUCUUCCAUUUUUACAUUUUUAAGACAUUAUACUUUCAUGCAUUUUACAAUUUAACCCUUUCCUCAAUUAUUUUUACAGCCCAUUAUCUCGUCAAGAUCUUGUGAGCUGGAAAAUGUCCCUGGACAAAAGACUGCUUCCUGUACUUGAUGUACCUGACAAAAAGAUCGAAGAACCACAUAAUGACAUUUCACGAAGCAUUAAUUUUGUAUUGAGUGCUAAAUUUGAACCAGAAAACCAAGUGGGUUCGAGCGACACUCUUUGUAGUAUUGAAUGUAACGAUGUGCUUGAUAACAUUGAUGAUGUAGAUGGGAUUCAUGAGAUUGAUGAAAAUUUUCUUGUGGAACUGGAUGCUGUAUGCGGUUUCAAUGUCAAUGAUUUGGCAUCAACUUCAAAUGAGAUUGAACAUGAUCCACAUGCCUAUGAUCAUGUUCUCGAGACUAAGCUUUCUGCAGAUGAAGAUUCUUAUCCCAAGGAUCUAGGAUAAGUUUCUGAAGAUGGAUUCGUGAGUCUGUUGACUGAAAAUGGUGGCACUAAGGAUGAUCUCAAGCUUCCAACCGAUGAUAGUCUGCUUACACAGAUUAAGGGAUUUUUGCUAAAUGAAAAGAUCUUGUGGUUACAAUGAUCUCACUCAGCUAUACCACAUGAUUCGAUUUUUUCAUGGAUUGCUAAGUAACAUAGACCCAACUUACAUUGAGAUUUGGCUAAACCUUAAACAAAAAACAGGAUUUAAGGUGUUUGGUGUUGGAACUUUAGUGUUGUUUCAGUUUUUUAAGAAUAUGCCUUCUUUCGUAUAUUUUUUUUAUUAUCAUAUUAUUUAUUGUUUCAGUUAUUUAGUGUUGGAAAAUAAUGUUGUUUUUUCAGAACAUCUGAUGGUGUUGAAGUUAUGGCGGUAUUAAGGCUUUGGUUUGGAGUGAUCAUACAGGCGAUAUUGUUGUUUUCUUUCUUGGUUUUACUCUUUUAUGAGUUAAAUUUGAGGAAUUAUAUGUUUAGAAGUUUAGAAGAGAUUGACCCAUUUAACAUUUUCAUGCAUUUACCCAUAAAGUUUAGAAGUUUAUAUAUAAAAUUUGACGAAUUAUAUAUGUAUUAUACCUUCCUAAUAUGACGUUUGUUUUAUUUUUAGUAUCAAUUAAUAAAAUAGAAAAUAUUAUAGAGA